CGAACCGUACGAACGUUAUUCGGAAUUACUGGGCUUAAAGGGUGCGUAGGCGGCGCAGUAAGUUGGGUGUGAAAUCCCUCGGCUUAACCGAGGAAUUGCGCCCAAAACUACCGUGCUCGAGGGAGAUAGAGGUGAGCGGAACUUAGGGUGGAGCGGUGAAAUGCGUUGAUAUCCUAAGGAACACCGGUGGCGAAAGCGGCUCACUGGAUCUCUUCUGACGCUGAGGCACGAAAGCUAGGGUAGCAAACGGGAUUAGAUACCCCGGUAGUCCUAGCCGUAAACGAUGAGCACUGGAUCGAAGGGUCCUCCAUAGCCUUUCGGUCGAGGCGAAAGUGUUAAGUGCUCCGCCUGGGGAGUAUGGUCGCAAGGCUG
rnacentral:rRNA from 1 species